rnacentral:rRNA from 1 species
AGGACGAACGCUGGCGGCGUGCUUAACACAUGCAAGUCGAGCGGAAAGGCCCUUCGGGGUACUCGAGCGGCGAACGGGUGAGUAACACGUGAGCAACCUGCCCCUGGCUCUGGGAUAGCCUCCGGAAACGGGGAUUAAUACCGGAUAUUCACUGUCUCCUGCAUGGGGGGUGGUGGAAAGUUUUUCGGCUAGGGCGGGGCUCGCGGCCUAUCAGCUUGUUGGGGGGGUGACGGCCCACCAAGGCGACGACGGGUAG